GAGAGCGGCGUACGGGUGCGUAACACGUGUGCAACCUGGCUUUAUCAGGAGGAUAGCCUUUCGAAAGAAAGAUUAAUACUCCAUAAUAUAUUGAUUGGCAUCAGUUAAUAUUGAAAACUACGGUGGAUAGAGAUGGGCACGCGCAAGAUUAGUUAGUUGGUGAGGUAACGGCUCACCAAGGCGAUGAUCUUUAGGGGGCCUGAGAGGGUGAUCCCCCACACUGGUACUGAGACACGGACCAG
rnacentral:rRNA from 1 species